UUCGAAGUCGUUUAUAUAUCUCAGGAGUUCUUCUACUAAAAAAAACUCAUGGCUUCCUCUACUUCUCCUAAAAUUGUCUCUCUCUGCUGCUCCAGUUACUCAAGCUUUGACUCUCUCCGGCUUGGUCGUACCACUCAAUUCAUUGUUGGCCGUCUCCUCCGCUUCUGGGAUUCCCGCAACAUUAAAAGAAAGGCGGAUCCCUGAAAACUCAGCGCAUUGUUUCCCAUUUUCAUUUUGACGAUCAUGGCUAUUCCAGUGGUGCCUUACACCAUGGUCAAGUUAAGCCGUGCUGUCUCCAAGAAACAAAGGACCAUUCGUUGUCAAUGUCUCGAGUGUGACAGCUCUGGGGAAUUUAAGAGAUCCUUAUUUAAAAAGGUGCACAUUGCCCAGAGAGGUGCCAUUACACCAUUGAUUAAGAUGCUUCAGUCAUCAGAUGAGCAGGUCGUGGAAAUGUCAGCUUUUGCUCUUGGUCGAUUGGCUCAGGCACUUGUGUUUUCCUGAAUCUGGUUCUUUAUGGAUGAUUAUUAUUAAAUCAGACCUUUUAUGUGAUAAGAACAAAAGUUGCAAUUCUUUUUUUGCUUGGAACAUAUCUUAAUACGCUGGUAUAUUCUCAAUGCAAUAUUUUAAAUGUUGCAGGACACACACAAUCAAGCUGGCAUCGGACAAAGAGGAGGCAUCAUCUCACUACUAAAUCUUCUUGAUGUGAAUACUGGAUCUGUCCAACACAAUAUUGCAUUUGCUUAGGCCUUGCAGAUAACGAGGAAAAUCUAGCAGAUUUCAUUAAGGCUGGAGGUAUCCAAAGGCUUCAAGAUGACAACUUCACCGUUCAACCGACUAGGGAUUGUGUGGUGAGGACAUUGAAGAGGCUAGAUAACAAGAUUCAUGGGCCUGUGAGAAUCUAUUUCUGUUAGACCUUCUGGUUGUUAGUUAAGUAUAGCCUUGGUUUUAGUCCCCUAAUGCCAAACCCUUC